CGACCUCCAACCCUUUGUUGUUAAAACUACCUUGUUGCUUUGGCGGGACCGCUCGGUCUCGAGCCGCUGGGGAUUCGUCCCAGGCGAGCGCCCGCCAGAGUUAAACCAAACUCUUGUUAUUUAACCGGUCGUCUGAGUUAAAAUUUUGAAUAAAUCAAAACUUUCAACAACGGAUCUCUUGGUUCUCGCAUCGAUGAAGAACGCAGCGAAAUGCGAUAAGUAAUGUGAAUUGCAGAAUUCAGUGAAUCAUCGAAUCUUUGAACGCACAUUGCGCCCCUUGGUAUUCCGAGGGGCAUGCCUGUUCGAGCGUCAUUACACCACUCAAGCUAUGCUUGGUAUUGGGCGUCGUCCUUAGUUGGGCGCGCCUUAAAGACCUCGGCGAGGCCACUCCGGCUUUAGGCGUAGUAGAAUUUAUUCGAACGUCUGUCAAAGGAGAGGAACUCUGCCGACUGAAACCUUUAUUUUUCUAGGUUGACCUCGGAUCAGGUAGGGAUACCCGCUGAACUUAAGCAUAU
rnacentral:rRNA from 1 species